rnacentral:rRNA from 1 species
CCUACGGGCGGCAGCAGUGGGGAAUAUUGCACAAUGGGCGCAAGCCUGAUGCAGCCAUGCCGCGUGUGUGAAGAAGGCCUUCGGGUUGUAAAGCACUUUCAGCGGGGAGGAAGGCGUUAAGGUUAAUAACCUUGUCGAUUGACGUUACCCGCAGAAGAAGCACCGGCUAACUCCGUGCCAGCAGCCGCGGUAAUACGGAGGGUGCAAGCGUUAAUCGGAAUUACUGGGCGUAAAGCGCACGCAGGCGGUCUGUCAAGUCGGAUGUGAAAUCCCCGGGCUCAACCUGGGAACUGCAUUCGAAACUGGCAGGCUAGAGUCUUGUAGAGGGGGGUAGAAUUCCAGGUGUAGCGGUGAAAUGCGUAGGGAUCUGGAGGAAUACCGGUGGCGAAGGCGGCCCCCUGGACAAAGACUGACGCUCAGGUGCGAAAGCGUGGGGAGCAAACAGGAUUAGAUACCCGGGUAGUC